rnacentral:misc_RNA from 1 species
AAAGUCGUAACAAGGUCUCCGUAGGUGAACCUGCGGAGGGAUCAUCAAAGAAUCAUUUACACAGAAGAGAUUGGAGGGGGGGGAGAGGAGACUCUUCUUUUCCUCUGGUCUUUUCUGAACAAACAAACAUACAUGACUAGUAAAAACAUUGAUUUGGUUGGUCAAAACAAGCAAGAAGUUCUUGGCUGAUAAGUAGCAUUGAUUUGGAAUGUGAAUCUAUAUCAAUACAACUUUCAACAACGGAUCUCUUGGCUCUC